UAGGGAAUCUUCCACAAUGGGCGCAAGUCUGAUGGAGCAACGCCGCGUGAGUGAAGAAGGUUUUCGGACCGUAAAGCUCUGUUGUUGGUGAAGAAGGAUAGAGGUAGUAACUGGCCUUUAUUUGACGGUAAUCAACCAGAAAGUCACGGCUAACUACGUGCCAGCAGCCGCGGUAAUACGUAGGUGGCAAGCGUUGUCCGGAUUUAUUGGGCGUAAAGCGAGCGCAGGCGGAAGAAUAAGUCUGAUGUGAAAGCCCUCGGCUUAACCGAGGAAUUGCAUCGGAAACUGUUUUCUUGAGUGCAGAAGAGGAGAGUAGAACUCCAUGUGUAGCGGUGGAAUGCGUAGAUAUAUGGAAGAAUACCAGUGGCGAAGGCGGCUCUCUGGUCUGCAACUGACGCUGAGGCUCGAAAGCAUGGGUAGCGAACAGGAUUAGAUACCCUUGGUAGUCCAUGCCGUAAACGAUGAGUGCUAAGUGUUGGGAGGCUUCCGCCUCUCAGUGCUGCAGCUAACGCAUUAAGCACUCCGCCUGGGGGAGUACGACCG
rnacentral:rRNA from 1 species